rnacentral:rRNA from 1 species
UACGUAGGUGGCAAGCGUUGUCCGGAUUUAUUGGGUUUAAAGGGUGCGUAGGCGGCCCUGUAAGUCAGUGCUGAAAUAUCCCGGCUUAACCGGGAGGGUGGCAUUGAUACUGCGGGGCUAGAGUACAGAUGAGGUAGGCGGAAUUGACGGUGUAGCGGUGAAAUGCUCAGAUAUCGUCAAGAACACCUAUAGCGAAGGCAGCUUACUAGGCUGUAACUGACGCUGAGGCACGAAAGUGUGGGGAUCAAACAGG